rnacentral:rRNA from 1 species
GCAUAUCAUAAGCGGGAGGAAAAGAAACCAACAGGGAUUGCCCUAGUAACGGCGAGUGAAGCGGCAACAGCUCAAAUUUGAAAUCUGGCCUUCGGGUCCGAGUUGUAAUUUGUAGAGGAUGCUUUUGGUGCGGUGCCUUCCGAGUUCCCUGGAACGGGACGCCAUAGAGGGUGAGAGCCCCGUCUGGUUGGAUACCAAUCCUCUGUAAAGCUCCUUCGACGAGUCGAGUAGUUUGGGAAUGCUGCUCUAAAUGGGAGGUAUAUGUCUUCUAAAGCUAAAUACCGGCCAGAGACCGAUAGCGCACAAGUAGAGUGAUCGAAAGAUGAAAAGCACUUUGAAAAGAGGGUUAAACAGUACGUGAAAUUGUUGAAAGGGAAGCGCUUGUGACCAGACUUGGGCAUGGUUAAUCAUCCAGCGUUCUCGCUGGUGCACUUGGCCUGCCCAGGCCAGCAUCAGUUCGGUGCGGGGGAUAAAGGCUUCGGGAAUGUGGCUCCUCCGGGAGUGUUAUAGCCCGUUGUGCAAUACCCUGCGCUGGACUGAGGUUCGCGCAUCUGCAUGGAUGCUGGCGUAAUGGUCAUCAGCGACCCGUCUUGAAACACGGACCAAGGAGUCGUCCUCGUAUGCGAGUGUUCGGGUGUUAAACCCCUACGCGUAAUGAAAGUGAACGCAGGUGAGAGCUUCGGCGCAUCAUCGACCGAUCCUGAUGUUCUCGGAUGGAUUUGAGUAAGAGCAUACGGGGCCGGACCCGAAAGAAGGUGAACUAUGCCUGUAUAGGGUGAAGCCAGAGGAAACUCUGGUGGAGGCUCGCAGCGGUUCUGACGUGCAAAUCGAUCGUCAAAUAUGGGCAU